UUAUGGCCAUAUCAAGUUGAAACACUGGCUCUCGUACAAUCACCGAAGUUAAGUAACAUCGAGACUGUUCAGUACUUAGAUGGGUGACCGUAUAGGAAAACCAGGCGCUGUAAG